rnacentral:rRNA from 1 species
GACGAACGCUGGCGGCGUGCUUAACACAUGCAAGUCGAACGGAAAGGCCCUGCUUGCAGGGUACUCGAGUGGCGAACGGGUGAGUAACACGUGGGUGAUCUGCCCUGCACUUCGGGAGAAGCCUGGUAAACUGGGUCUAAUACCGGAUAGGAGCCAUUUUUAGUGUGAUGGUUGGAUAGUUUUGUCGGUGUAGGAUGAGCUCUCGGCCUAUCAGCUUGUUGGUGGGGUAAUGGCCUACCAAGGCGGCGGCGGGAAGCCGGACUGAGAGGGUGGCCGGCCACCCUGAGACUGACGUACGGCAGAGACAGGGACUGGAGGGAGAUGGGGGGAAGACUGCAGGAUGGGCGCAAGGCGGGUGAAGAGGGGCCGCGGGGCGGAUGACGCUGUUCUGGUUGUAAAACCAUUGCGCAAGGGACGAAGCUUUUUGUGACGGUACCUAGACAGGAAGCCCCGGCUAACUACGUG